UUAAGGUCACUGUCUGUCUGUCACUGUGUUUGAGAUGUCCGUUUAUGUCAUUAAUGGACAACAUGUGAUCGAUGUAUUCAAAUGACCGCAGUUUCGUCAGUUGGAGCUCACAUGACAAGGGACGUUUCUCUGUCCAGGACGGGCUCGCUGCUAUUAGCCUAGCAUUUGACAGUCCCAGUAGCCUGCUAGCGCUAGCCAACCGGCAUUUGUAAAAGUAAUGUCCUUGUUGUGGAACAAUGCUGGAGAACACCUCGUUUGGAGGAAAUGUACUUUAUAGAAACUAUUUUCCACAACAGUAACAUUAUGCGGUUAAAUAACUGGUCUUUGCCCUUUGAUCUUAUUUCGGGACCUUAAACCACAGCUGUAGUUUGGAUCUCAAAAUACUGCGAAGCUCUCAAGCAUCACCAAUGUGACUUUGGAGCCUUGCUGCGUGUGAUGGUGACAUACUGACUGGGGUUGCUUCGGCCCCUGUUGUGAAUGGCUGUAAGCAGAGGGGGCAUCGCCUUCUGGGUGGGGUGUGUCCGCAUCCAUGGCAGAAGGCAGCCCGUCACAAAGCACAUCGGGAGUCUGAGUCAGCCAGUUGACUUGCAGUGGAUCUGCCCAACACGUCCUUUCAGCAGCGCAUCAUGGGCCCUGGCGCCUACCGACAGCUUGAGAAAUCAGACAAUUAAGCAACCGAUUCUGUCCCACCCCUUCCAUCGUGCCAGCUGGCCACAGAGGGUUGCUUACCACGAAGAGGAGUGGGAGGAGUCGCUCAGCAUGUGUGUGCUGGUGCGACCAAAUGAGUCAAGUGGCGUGCACACUCUGGUGGAAAUCCCGUUGUUUGGUCAAACUAAAUUAGGAGAAUUACUUGCUCCAGGGAUUCACAAGUCCUCUGAGUUUUCCUUCCUAUUGACCACAGUGGACGGCAGCAGAGUGGAUGACAUCAACGUCAGCAGCUUCAAGAGAAGCAGCAAACAUCCACUAGAGAGACAGCACGGCUGUUUUAGAAGCCUUUUUGAAGCGGAGAGGUGCCCCGCACCGUUCAUGUGUGGCUCUCAGUUUUAUUGUUUCCAUUCCCCGGGAACACAACCGGUGGCCCACAGCAGGCAUAACCCCAGGCAGGAUAUUGGACUUGAGAGAAACAAGAUGGAGGAGUUUCCCCGGCUGCAUCCCAACCCUCUGUGUAGCCAUGAAGCAAGAAAAGAGGGGUCGCAUCGUGAAGGAGACAGCGAAGGAGAGCAGAAGCUGGCCAUAGCAUAUGAACGACUGAGGAGUGAACUUCCAAAUUUCUUCCGUAAGAAUCAUGACUACACCAUGUACUCCAAUGAUAUUGAAUUCAUCAAUGGACUUCUCAAUACCAAGACCAGAGGACGGGUGGUAUACCAGCUCACCCUCUCCCUGUGGCGCCUCAUGUGUCUGUUGUACUUCGCCGACGCGCGGCUGGAGGUGCUGAAACUGACCAAGCACAUGGAAGACGGGACCAUUAAGGCUCGCUGGAGGGUCAGGGGCCUUCCCUUCCUCACACUGAUGCUACGCUUCUACCGCAAAGACAAAUCACACCUGUACAGGUGAGCCAGCCCUCAUCCCACCCAUAUACUGCUGGGCAAAUGGCGAGUCUGGCUUUUGUUUUUCCCAUGAUGAACAGGGGCGGAGCAUUAAGCCGUCCACACGCUGGGCAACGGGAAACGUGACUGAAGUCUCGGGGUUCGACCAAUAGUUUUCAGAGUGACUGACUGUCGACAACUGGUUUCGCUGCAAUUUGAAAUUUAAAUCGCCGUUGAAUGGCGUUGCAAUGUCACAGACGUAACUGCCGAUCAAAAAUGUGAUGUUGUAUCACAUGAUCUUUUAGAGCAACAAUUACGUUUGCGUGUACCAAGUGAGAUCCAUCUGGCCGCCACUACCAGGGCACUUUGUUGAGUCCACAAGGGACAUAAUGUGGUAAACAAACAAACAAAAAAGUUGACCACUAAUGUAAUGUUACUACAAUAAAAGACUACCUUUUAUAACAAAUGACACCCUAUCACCGUACUGGCACUAAUCCAAUCAAAAAAACAAAAAAAGAAGAAAAUAUGUAUUUAUAGUGGAAUGAUAGUUUGUGACACCCACACUCUUAACCUGAGGAGAGGGGGGAAACUGUGGACCUAUCAAUUGGGGUAGAUAAACUCUCAAGUUAAGAUUGUGUGAUUUAUUGCCAAUGAGGAGAAGGGCCGGUUUAUCAUUUAUUUGGUUUGGGAAUGUUUGAGGUGAACCAGGAGUCUUAUUUCAGACAAACAGGAGGUGAGAGACAAGUGUGGAAAUUAAGGUUCGCAGGGAAGCGAGUGCAAGGUGUCAUCCAACGACGCUAUGGAAGUGAAUAUCCAAUUUAUAGAAAAUGAGGCCAAGGGUGGAAGAUGUCGAUGAAGAGCAGUGGAUUCAGGACAGCCUGGAGGCGAGGGCCUGGUGGUCGGGCACAGCCCGAAAGGGUAACGUGGGUCCCCAUCCCCAUGGCAGCCGAAGCUCGGCGAGCUGGGCAAUGGCCGAAGGCGAUCCGAUCCCCGGCUACAGAAGCUGGCUCUAGGUACGAGCUGGUGUGGGGGAAGAUGCCGACGUGGCAGGCCCAAUCGUCUCGUGAGGGUCUGCUGGGAACGUCUUGCAGAAUCCUUGUCCGAAGGAGUUCCGACUCCGAGUGGACCAUGUUAUGCGCCUCCAUUGCUGAGGCGGCCGACCGGAGCUGUGGCCGGAAGGUGGUCGGUUCCUGUCGUGGCGGCAAUCCCCGAACCCGUCAGUGGACACCAACGGUGAGGGAUGCCGUCAAGCUGAAGGAGGAGUCCUAUCGGGCCUUUCUGGCCUGUGGGACUCCUCUGAGGCAGCUGAUGGAUACCGGCUGGCCAAGCGGAAUGCAGAUUUGUUGGUCGCUGAAGCAAAAACACGGGUAUGGGAGGAGUUGAGAGAAAGACGUCCGGACGGCUUCGAGGAAAUUCUGGUCCACCGUCCGGUGUCUCAGUAGGGGGAAGCAGUGCACCAUCAACACCGUGUACAGCGCUGCUGACCUCAACUCGGGACAUUGUGAGUCGGUGGGGGAGAAUACUUCAAAGACCUCCUCAAUUCCACUGACACGCUUUCCUAUGAGGAAGCAGAGUGUGGGUUCACUGAGGCGGGCUCUCCUAUCUCUGGGGUUGAGGUCACCGAGGUGGUUAAAAAGCUCCUCGGUGGCAAGGCCCCGGGGGUGGAUGAGAUUCGCCCGGAGUUCCUCAAGACUCUGGAUGUUGGGGGGCUGUCCUGGUUGACACGCCUCUGCAACAUCGCGUGGACAUCGGGGACAGUGCCUCUGGAUUGGCAGACUUGGGUGGUGGUCCCCCGGGGGACCGGAGGGUGUGUUUCAACUACAGGGGGAUCACACUCUUCACUCACAGUUCACAGCCGAGUGUGAAGCGGCUGGGAUGAGAAUCAGCACCUCCAAAUCUGAGACCAUGGUCCUCAGUCGGAAAAGGGUGGCGUACCCUCUCCAGAUCGGGGAUGAGAUCCUGCUCCAAGGGGAGGAGUUCAAGCAUCUUGGGGUCUUGUUUACAAGUAAGGGAAGAAUGGAACGGGAGGUCGAGAGGCGGAUCGGUGCAGCGAUGCGGACUUUGUAUCGGUCCGUUGUGGUAAAGAAGGAGCUAAUCCGAAAGGCGAAGCUCUCGAUUUACUGGACGCUCUAUGUUCCUACCCUCACCUAUGCUCACGAGCUGUGGGUCGUGACCGAAAGAACAAGAUCCCGGAUACAAGCGGCCAAAAUGAGUUUCCUCCGCAGGGUGUCCGGGCUCUCCCUUAGAGAAUGGGGGGUGAGAAGCUCGGUCAUCCGGGAGGAUCUCAGAGUAGAGCCGCUGCUCCUCCACAUCGAGAGGAGCUAGAUGAGGUGGCUUGGGCGGGCACGUCCCACUGGGAGGAGACCCCCCAGGGAUGACCCAGGACACGCUGGAGAGACUGUCUUAUCAGCAGGCCUGGAUGAAGUGGCUGGGGAGAGGGAAGUCUGGGCAUCCCUGCUAAGCCUACUGCCCCCGCGACCUGACCUCGGAUAAGCGGAGGAAAAUGGAUGGAUGGAUUCAGGACAGAGCCCUGGGUUUCACCUGUCAGGACUGGGGAGGGAUCGGAUGUGAAGGACUUCAGCUUAAUGAACCGGGUGUGGUCUUUGAGUUAUAAAUGGAGCCAGUCAGGGUUAGUGCAUGUGGUACCACUGGAAGAAUAGUCCAAAGCCAUGCACUCGGGCAAAGGAGGACGAGGAUAGAAAGUGAACUGGACUCGGCUGCAAUGUGGAGGUUGUCAGAACUGAAAGUAUUCUCAUCGAAAUCACUAAGAUGAACCUUUGGCGUGAACAUCAUUUGCGAGUACGUCUUACUAUGAAUGAAUGGCAUCUGUUGCAGGUCCUACGAUGCUUUCUCCACAUUCUACAUAGGACAUGACGGACUCGUCCACUGUCAUAAAGUUGAAAAGGUGAUGCCGGCUCAGCCGCCAGUCCUUCCC